rnacentral:rRNA from 1 species
CCUACGGGAGGCAGCAGUGGGGAAUAUUGCACAAUGGGGGAAACCCUGAUGCAGCGACGCCGCGUGAGUGAAGAAGUAUUUCGGUAUGUAAAGCUCUAUCUGCAGGGAAGAAAAUGACGGUACCUGUUUAAGAAGCCCCGGCUAACUACGUGCCAGCAGCCGCGGUAAUACGUAGGGGGCAAGCGUUAUCCGGAUUUACUGGGUGUAAAGGGAGCGUAGACGGCAGCACAAGUCUGGAGUGAAAUGCCGGGGCUUAACCCCGGAACUGCAGUGGAACCUGUGCAGCUAGAGUGCAGGAGAGGGAAGUGGAAUUCGUAGUGUAGCGGUGAAAUGCGUAGAUAUUAGGAGGAACACCAGUGGCGAAGGCGGCUUACUGGACUGUAACUGACGUUGAGGCUCGAAAGCGUGGGGAGCAAACAGGAUUAGAUACCCGUGUAGUC